rnacentral:tRNA from 1 species
GCCUGGGUGGCUCAGUCGGUUAAGCGUCUGACUUCGGCUCAGGUCAUGAUCUCACGGUCUGUGAGUUCGAGCCCCGUAUCAGGCU